GUUUGGAUGAGCUCGAGCAGCUAACUAGUUAUGUGUGUUGUGCUGGCUUCAAAGACAGGUGGCCAGCAUUUGGAAGAAAACAUCAGUUUUGGAAAGAUACCUCUGAAUUUCUCUUUGUAAACAUGGAAGCAGUACGCAUAGCUGAUGCCUGUCGAAACACUGUUCAGAGGGAGCUGCAAAACCGCUUCUCCUCUCCUGACAAUGCCAAGGCUGAAUACAAUUUGACCAAUAAAACAAACUCUUCUUGCCCAAUGAUGAACAAUGUGUUUUAUCAGGCACUGGUCAGACAAUAUCAGAGCUCUGUCGAGAAGAACAGAUCGGUGUGGUGACUAAGCUGUUCCAGGAAUAUGCACUUCUUUAUUAUGAAAGAGUUUAUCCUUCCGAUUAUCUAAUUCUCUCUCUUGAGGCUAUGGUGCAAUUGGAUCAUGGUGGUAGAACCAAUGUGAUGUACAACUUGGCGAAAGCAAUAGGCACGAAGAGACCUAACAGUCAGGAAUCACGGCUACCUGUCUCAAGAAUGCCAAUGGGACUCAUUGAGUAUUGCUCUAAUUUCUUCUGUUCGUCUGAUAUACAACAAGUUCGUUACCCUGAUGACUACAGAAAGUGGCUAGUGUCCAUGUUUACUCUCUUCGGAACGAAUGGGUAAAAAUCUUCUGUGGUCCAAUGUGGAAAAUUAUGUCAACUUCUCAGUCAGUCCCUGAGCCACGCCAUGGAGGCCUUGACCCACUUGAGGCAAGAGUCAACGUCCCUGGGCUCUCUGAAAGAACUCUUGAAAGAGACAUUGUUAGCAGUGGAAUUUCUUUGGGAUCAGAGGUUCAGCUAAAGAUACUUGAUGCUGCUCACAAGAGAAAUCCGAACACAAGCUGGUGGUUGAAAGGGGAUGGAUGUGAUCUUGUUUCUGGAUUGAAAGAAUCGAUGCGUCAUGAGUGGAGUGGGGAUGUUGAUCUUGACACUGGUGACUUACAGCAAGAGUUUAAGGUUUACAGAGACCUGCUUGAUUUCUACAAGGCAAUAAGGAUUGGCAGUAACUGCGUGGAAGACUUGGGGAAAUGCUGCCAGAUAUUACUUGAAGAAAAGAUAUUCAUUCUGACAGCUUUAGAGCAUGCAGACGCCACGAAAAGGGAACAACUACAAAGCAACUGUUUGAAGGUGGUUGGAAAGUCGACGAUAUACAGCAGCUUAGAAAGCAGAAUCAGCAGCUUAUUGUCAAUGUUCGUGCAGUUGCCAUACCAGUCAGUCCAUUUCCAGCAUGAAAGAAAAUUUAUGCAAUUUCUCUAGAAAUUUAUACUGACAAAAACGACAGGUUGCAACACACGUGUUUGUGCUAAUGAUUAGCAGUGAAAGAAGAGAAAGAAAACCUUAUGCUUUACCACUUCAACUGCUUCCCUACCACUCUAUCAAUGAGCAAACAAUUCGUCGUAUUGUUUGCAAUAUUCUCAAAUUGAUGAAAGCUCGUGGAAUGAAUGUUGUUGGAUUUAGUAGCGACGGUGAGUAUAAUUCGAUGAGAAACAAAGGGUAUACCAGACCCCUGUCUGUGCUUCAAAUUCGCUCUACCAUCAGGGCUAAGUACUCCCGCUUAUAAAAGAAAGUAUCUGCUGACUCCAAAACUGAUGGCAAACUCAUUGAUCACAUGUCUGAAACCAAGUCCUUUCGUAUCAGCACAGCUACUAUGUGAGAUACACAUUUGGAAGGAAGUUCUUGGCCUCACAUGGGAGGAUAUCAUAUCUCGAUUUAGACCUCGCACGGUUCCAAGUGGCUACAAAUUUCAUUCGUGGAUUCCAGGAAAGAGAGAAGAAGAAGUGGACAAAUUGAGGUCUAUUUUAGCUCAACUUGAGUUCACCACACCGUCAGAGAAUACGAUCGAAAUGGUGUACCUUUCAGACAACAUUUGCAUGUGCCAGAAGUUCAUCCAGAAACUGGAAACGUCUUUUAUGAGAGAUAAGACCCGGCCCAUGUACUGAAGAGGAUGGCCAAGUGUACCCGUAAUGGAGGUCCAGAUGACAUUGAAGUAGAGCACUAUAUGGAAGCUCUCAAGGACGAAACCUCUAGAUUGACACACUCUGCUCUUGUCGGUUUGAGAAAGCAAUCGGUCAGUGAUGCUGAAAGAUUGUUUUCUCUACCUCUGGCACACUUCAUGGAAAGGAAAGGAUACACAGCUGAGGCCAACUACAUUCAUGCUGUAAACGGUUGGAGACGUGCAGCUGAUGAGCGUGGAUUAUCUCAGCUUCAGAGAUGCCGGCUGAACUACAAGUUCCUGCAGUAUAUUCUGGACGAUCUCAUGCCCUGGCACCAGUCUGAAUAUGACUUCAGCUUAUUGGAAGUAAACAAGGACAUAUCCAGUGUGCGUGGGUUUAGUGAAGUGUUGAUUGCAGUUAUCUUACACAUUGAGACCUCUGAGUUUCGACGAAUUGAGCUAGUUAACCGGAGUUUGCCACCUGAACACCCACGAGCAUCUACCACUGAUGAUGUAGAGUGUUUUUUUAGUGUGGUGAGGGAUUUACUCGGGAAAAACUUUACGUCGAAAGAAGUGAAGUUUUCUUGGAGAAAAAUCUGUAAUGAGUAUGAGAAACGGAAUGACCCCGAUCUGCCAUAUUUUUAUUAUACCUCCAACCACGACCGCUUCUAUGAGGGUGACAGACCUGAUUUUGACAUUCCAUCCACACAAUCACCAAGAAAAAUGUCUAGAGUCUCGAGAGCUGAGUCGAUGGCCACUUCUAUGUUUUCAAGUGGGAAGGCCUCCCUUCCAUCACACAAAACUCUUCAUACAAGAGCGAUUUUUCACAAUCCACCAGAAGAGCUGCCGCCACCACCUAAUAUUCCCACUUACAUUUCCAAACACUUGUAUGUCUAACUUUCGAGGACAUAUUACUGCUAUUAUAUGUAUUCUUUACCUUGUAUUCUUUAAUUAUCA